UAAAUUUUGGAUUCCAAAUUUCCCUUUUGUUGGAGAAGUAGUUGUCCAUUGGACAUAGGAAGCAUGGCUUUCAGUCAGCAACACCGCAGAGGGCAAAUGGCAAGAAUGGGCUUCUCCUGAGAUUAUCAGAUCUUCUUGUUGAGGCUGACAAGAAAGAAAGCUGAGACCUGCCCUGCUGGUGGAUGGAAGAAAAGGGAGACCCAGGAGAAGGCUCUCUGUAAUUGCUUGAGAGGAAAUAUGGGCUAUCUGGGCCAUUUAUAUACUAUUGCUGUUGGAUGCUCUUCUUUGUACUACGCAAGCAUGUCCCUAGAUUAACACUAUCCCCACGGAGUCAGCCAGCACAAAAGUCACUCUUUGCCUUGUGGGCACUGAGGUCCUCCUGAGAACACAACCAUAAUAAAGAAAAUAACCUGGAGCUGCACUAUUCAUGGGGGAUGUUGAAGUGUAUUCUGAAUUGAUUUGAAACCAAUCCAAUCAAAAGAAUGAAAUAUUCCCCAAUCAGGUCAAACUGACCAAAAUGAAGUGUUUCAUUUCAGGUUCAUCUCCCCCCCCCACUCUUCAAAAUAAAGUAGAAAGUAAUAUAAAAAGAAGAACACAGAAGGUUUUCAGCACAAUCACAUUUCUUCCCCCUGGAAAGCAGUGAAUCUGUGGAAGUGGCAAGUUCCUUUGAGAAAUAUCUCUCAUCAGCACUUCUGCAUUCUUUGCAACCUCCACACAGUGCUUCAUUCUGAUCCUAGGGCUUCCUGGGAAUUACGGCUCAGAUGCCUCCUUUGUCUGUCCCUAAAUCACGCUCCCCGCUCAGAGGAUACCAUCAAAAACCCACUGCAGACAACAAAGCAUCCUUGGCCACCAGGAGUCUGCGAUCAUGACAUGCCUAAAAUAUGUUCCAAUGAGUGCUGGCUUCCUUCCUUUUCUUGUAUUUCUGCAAAAAUAAAGUAUGUGCACAUGUACAUUACAUGUGUGUGUAUGUACUAGCCCAUUUUUAUUGGUAGAAAACACCACCAUCUUGGGGCAGUAUCACUACCCAGCAGGAGAAGCAGAGGAGUUUGAGACUUGCACAGCACCAAGCCAUUUCCUCAGUUCUGUGCUGACUGCUGAAACAGCUAUCAGGGCUGAGCAAGGUGUGACAGCAACACAACAGGCUCCUGGAAAAGAGGAGGGAGACCAAAGGCAUUUUCCUCUUUGAAACACUGAGAGACAAUAAAUUAUCUUUUCAGAGGGCAUUCUGAGAACAAUUCAAAUUCCUGAAUGCCUUUCCCAAACAGUGCUAAGGGAUUCUUGAGGGAAAAGGCAAACAGAGAGUAGGUGAGAGAGGGCAUCCAUCAGCACGCCGCCACCAAAGCACCUUUCCUGCUCCAGAAUUCUGGCUUUCAGCAAAUCCCUUAUGACAAUAUUCUGCAUUGUACCAGAUAGCCAAAGAGUUGUGCAAUUAGAUGUCAAAUAUGUUUGGGGAACAAAGUGUGUAAACGGGAUGUAAUGCAACACUACGUGUUUAUUUCUGAACAUGAAUCCAAGUAAAUCCAUCCAUGGCUG
ensembl:lncRNA